CCUACGGGAGGCAGCAGUGAGGAAUAUUGGUCAAUGGACGAGAGUCUGAACCAGCCAAGUAGCGUGAAGGAUGACUGCCCUAUGGGUUGUAAACUUCUUUUAUAAAGGAAUAAAACGAGGCAAGUGUGCCUUUUUGCAUGUACUUUAUGAAUAAGGAUCGGCUAACUCCGUGCCAGCAGCCGCGGUAAUACGGAGGAUCCGAUCGUUAUCCGGAUUUAUUGGGUUUAAAGGGAGCGUAGAUGGGUUGUUAAGUCAGUUGUGAAAGUUUGCGGCUCAACCGUAAAAUUGCAAUUGAUACUGGCAGUCGUGAGUACAGUUGAGGUAGGCGGAAUUCGUGGUGUAGCGGUGAAAUGCUUAGAUAUCACGAAGAACCCCGAUUGCGAAGGCAGCUUACUAAACUGUGACUGACAUUGAUGCUCGAAAGUGUGGGUAUCAAACAGGAUUAGAUACCCUAGUAGUC
rnacentral:rRNA from 1 species